ensembl:lncRNA PATJ-DT PATJ divergent transcript
UCCCCGCCCGGGGCGGGGCACCGGGGUGGCGCAGGGGGCGGGGGAGGGAGCCCGGGGCCGCGGGAGGCGGGCUCCAAGGAGGGAGGACGGUUGCCCUGGCUGUUUACGUGCAGGUGAAUUCCUACCGGGCGCGGGAUGGCCAAGGGCCUGGGAAAAGUGGGCUGUGGGGGCGGGGUGGCGGAUCAGACCGCGCGUGGUGGGGACAGCCGCCACUGACGGGGAGGGAGAUCCGGACAGACCGGUGUGGUUGGAGGCCUGCGUGUAGAGCGAGACCCAAGAUCAAGGAAAUUGAGGAGGAUAUCGAUGAAAGCGUUGGGUCAAUCCGCUUAACACUUUGUCUUUUUGCCCCUUUCCUUUCCUGUUCUCUCAUCCCUCCUUUGUUUUCUCUAUUCGCUGACGCAAAAUAAAAUAUUCUAAAACGUGUAAA